UUUGCUUGUGCUCACUGAACUUCCGCUUUCCUCUCUCUUCACAAGAAAUUUUUUUAGAAUUAGAGACAAAACCAAGAGGAAACCUUUGCAACCCUUCCUCCCAGAAGAAUGUAUUUUUUGGUAAUCCUGUUUUUUCUAGGACAAAUUACUGGUGAGACUUUCUUUCAUCAUUAUGAAAACGGAAAUUUCACACUCAUAUGCAAUGAAACAGUGGCUAAUGGGAAGAAGGAAACAGUUUGGUACAAUACUGGAGAAACUCUGGAACAAUUCAAAGAAAUCAACUGCAGUAAUCAAUGGGCAGAAGUAAUGAACAUGCCAAGAAAAGGCUGUGGUAACACAAAGUGUAUAAACCAAUUACCAAAUUCUGCUUCCAAAGGUGGUGGGGUAUUUGCAUGUGAACAAUUUACAAAUACUGGCACAUCACAGACUUACCCACUUUUUACCAAUGUGACUCACUGCAGACAUUAUAACUUUUUUAUUGUGGUGAUAAUAAACAUGACUGCAGAUAAUGAGACUUUUGAGAACAUUCAUGCAAAAUCACACGAUAAUCGUUUAGCAGAAGAAGAAAGUAACAUCACUCUGUCUUGUGAAUUUAAAAUGAAGCGCUCAGGACAACCAUUUGUUAUAUAUUGGAUCAAAUAUACAGAAACAAGCAAAUGCCUGUCUUCUGUUCAGAGAGAGCAAGUUACUUCUAAUUUCUCGUAUAAUACACUUUGCUGUAUUGAUGAGAUGAUCAAAGGACGACUAUUGAACUAUACAAGCUUAGAUACAAACAAGAUACGUGUAGUCCAUAAUAUUACCAUCUUGAAUGUUGUUUACUCUGACAGUGGAACUUAUUUAUGUGUUGUAAAUGCCUGGUCAAAUGGUAAACAUGUGUGGAAGAUUGCAAAUAACCUUUCUAUAGAAGUGAGGACUCAAGCCAUUCCAUCCUUUGCUUCCGUGCUGUUGUAUGCCACCACUGGAUUGAUCGUAGGGAUUAUCAUCAUCAGUGGGAUAGCAUGGUUGAUCUAUAAAAAGAAAACCAAAUCAAAAGGAAAGCCAUCUGCACAACUUCCCAGAGCUCAGGCUCCUCUUGAAAUUCCAGGAGAUGAAUGUUCCCCAUAUGCAAUGAGCAGCAGCAAAGACUCGCAAAGAAAUGAAGUGUUGUAUUCACUUGCAACAAGCCCAUAUAAGGACCCAAAUGCAGCCAAUUGUACGGUGGAUAACACUGCAGCAUCUGGCAAGGGGUCAGGAGAUGAAAUACAUACAGUUUAUGCAGUGGUGCAACAAUAGCUGUUCCUGAGCUGGAGAACGGAAGUUGGUUUGAAAAUGACUAUCAACUUUUGGCUGAUUUUUGGGGAAAAAAUCCAGCAUUUUAGCCUUGACUACCCAAUUUUGACUAUUCAGUGAGCUAUCUUACAAAAUAUAAUGGGGCAGAUCCUCUGCUGAUAUAAAUUCUCAUAGCUCCAUUACGAAGCUAUGACAGUUUGCACCAGACGAACAUAGGAAUUGUCACACUCAGACCAUUGGUUCAUUUAAUUCAGAAUCCUGUCUCCAGCAGUGGCCUUCACCAGAUGUGUCAGAAGUAGAUGCAUGAAUCCCCAUAAUGGACAGUUGUGGCACAACUUGCUCACAGGGGAAGUUUCUUCUCAACACCUAUCAGCUAGAGGUUGGCUAUGCUCUGAAGUAAGAGUGUUUUAUAGCCCUCAUACAUCUUAUCCUAUCUAAUGUAACGUUAUCCUUUGUGUAUGAAAACCUUUAUAAAUGAAUGAUUGCUUUAGGAACAAAGAUCUUUAUUUUCCUCCAGUUUUACAUUGGUGUAAUUCUGUUGGCUCCACUGGAGAUACUCCUGCUUUACAUUGGUGUAAGUGAGCAGAGGAUCAGAAGCUUAGGGCAUGGCUACACUGGAAACUUCAAAGCGCUGUCGCGGGAGCUCUACUGGUAAUCCAACUCCACGAGGGGACUAGCUCCGAGCACUGGGAGCAGCCUGUUUACACUAGUGCUUUAAAGCGCUCUGACUUUCUGUGUACACCCCUGAGCCAGCAAGUUAGAGCGCUAUAAAAUGUAAAUGUAGCCAAGCCCUGAGACACUCAGGUGUGAUUACUAGAGCAGGCAGAAUCAAUUAAGGACACUGUUAGCCCCUACAUAAGUUUUUCUUCUUUAAAACAGCCACAUUGGAUAUAAUGGGGCCCUUUAUGUAUUCCCAGAAAAGGUACAGCACAAACCAUGUUCCAGGAAUCAGGACCUGCAGCAGAGCCACUCUCCUAGUAACCUAACAAAAACAGCUGGCUUGUAGUUGGCUGCCUGAUUGACUGUACUGCCUAAUUGGUUUGAAGAGUCAGCAGCCCAGCACUUAAGCCCAGCAGCAGUUCAGUGUCUCUUCAAAGCAUUUACUCAUGGCUGAGCUAGCUCCUAUGUGUGCUUGUUCUAGCCUUGCCCCACUUCAGGUAACCUGUUUCUGACCCUCGGAUCUGAUUCCUAAUUUCAGUUCUGGCACCUAGCCUCUGACUGUGGCUCUGACCCUGGGCUCUGGUGCCUGGAUCAACCACUUGGCGUGAUUGCCCAUGUCCUGGCCACUGACACCAUGGCAGUGCCAGUAUCCUCACGUAAGCCUUUUUAGCCAUCACAAAGAUAAGAGGAACCUCUGCUAGGAUGUGAGAAUAGUUAUAUCUCUGUGCAAAUUUAAAUAUUCAGUCCACUGGAAUUUCCAUAUUCUCCAUUUACUUUCCCCGCCCACCUUACAAGCUUGACACUGAGUGAAGUGAUCCUCUUUCAAGAGUCUGUUGGCUCCAUUCUGGAUGCUCAAAUGGGAUCACUCCAAGGGGUUGAGUAUGAUGUCUUUGCAGGGGUGCUGGAACAACUUAUAUAGUAGAGGGGCUGAGAGCCAUUUAACCAAACUGUAAACCCUGUAUAUAACGGAAACUACUUCAAGCCAGUUGGUGUGGCAUACCCCUAGUUCCAGUGUUCCAGGUCCAGGUAGGGUGACCUGAUAGCAAGUGGGAAAAAUUGGGACACUUUUUUGGGAAGGGGGGCGUAUAGUUGCCUGUAUAAGAAAAAUCCCCGAAUAUCAGGAUGUCUGGUCACCCUAGGUAUAGAGAACUUGGGGCCUGAACUUGGACAUGGUGCAUUGCAUGGCUACAAGCUCACCCAGAUGAUCCUGGGAGCAGCAGGAUGGAGCAAUGUUGGGGGGAGGGGCAUGUGAAUCUCUCAUGCCCGCUCUCCUCCCUCCCCUGGCAGCCACAAGGGCCAGCUGAAAGAACUUUUUAAAAGUUUCCCCGGGCCGCAGUGGGGAGGUUCUCGGGCUACAGAUGAUCCAUGGGCCGGGACUUUGAGACCCCAGGUCUAUAGCCCCAAUCCUGCUUAUACUUAAGCACAUGCUUAACUUUAAGCAAGUUAGCUUCAUUCAAGGGAAAGGGACUAUUUAUAAGGUGUGAAAUUCAGCAUAUUCUUAAGUGUUCACAGGAUCGGGGCUUAUGUAGGUGCAAGGUUAUUAUAAUGUAAAAUAAAAGGGAAUGUAGGGCCCUACAAGACCUCACAAGAAGCAUAGCCCCACCAGUUACAUGGCAUCCUGGGCUGUCCAUGUCCAUGGAAGAGUGGGAGAGAAUUUCCAAAUGUGCUUAUUUCAGUCAUAUAUUGUAAUGGACUUCCUCUCUCUGGCUGGCUGGGUGGCAGGUGGGUGUGGUUUGAGAAAAGCUGGUAGAUUGGUAAUUUAAACAAAGUGGUUUUGGGGGGGGGAGGGGCUGCCUCUUGUCAGCUCCAGGCAGGCAGUAGAUGCAAUGUGAGGGCUCUAGCUGCGUUAAAGUUUGUUUGGAGUUUUAGAAAGCAUGGUCCUGCUUCAUUCUUUCAGCUAUUCCUGCUGCUACAGUGUUAUGAGGUGGAAUUUCUCAAUAGACCAAAGGAACCAAUUCUUCACUCUCAAAUAUUUUUUAGAAUUAUGAUUUUCAUAUGAAUGAAAAUUCAAAGUUAAGACUGAAGCAUCAUCCUUGAACUUCUCUGUGCUCACAUAUUGUGCAGCUGCCAGAGAGUGAAUUCUUGGGUCAACUGAAUUUACUUGUUUUGCCAAAGAAGUUUUGCCAUCAGUGGAGCUAGGAUUUCACCUACAGCUUUUGUAAAAUCGCCCACUGGUACUUCAGACCUUUGCAUACUUUGGCAUAAUAAGUGAAGGGCAAAUUGACAUAUUCUAGUCAAAUGUCCUUGCUGUUUUUGGUUACAACAUUAAGGCAAUGUAACAAUUUUUGUACUUAGUUACUAAAAUAACUAUGUACCCUGGCCUAAUGGCACAAGAUCAAUUUUAUAACCUCACUAAUAAAAACACACUGUGCUUACAGUAGAGGACAUAUUCUACAUUGAUUGAAGUGUUUAAGUCCAAUAAUCUGGAUGAACUCUUCUGGGUAACAGAAUUUCAUUUUGCAUUUCCAAAUAAUUUGUGGUGAUCUUCUGACAAAGUCCUAAAGCGAAAGCAACAUCAAGUAAUCUGAAAUGCCUAGACUAAAACUACAUUAUGAACAUAUUCAACAAACAAAAUUGAUAUCAUCUAUGUAUGUAGUAGAAUUGAACAAAGAUAGGAGGAUUUCCAGAGUACGUAGUAAAAAUAUCUAACUAUUGGAACAGUCAAAUAAUUAUUAGCUGUAGGCAAAUUGUUGUGGUUAUAAUAGGCCAGAUAUCAGAACUGGGUAUCUGGUCCUAUUUCUUUCUCUUUACUCCAAGCUCUUAAUAAUGAUGUGCCACCUGGAAGAGAUUAAGAAUUUUUUUGUUAAAUAUUUUUAACAGCUCGUAUUUCUUUGAAAGCCUGAAGUAGAUUUAUCUCAUCACCAGAAAAUAUGUAUCAUGUUUACCGGUGGCUAGAGGUUAUGGCAAGGUAGGCAAUAAAUAUGUUAUACAAAGUAUGUUAUACAUGGUGUACAGAAUUUUAAAAUCAUAUAGUAAUUGUAAGGAAUAUUAUCUGUUCAGAAAAUUAAAGCAAAUUUGAUUUAAUGCCAA